rnacentral:rRNA from 2 species
CCUACGGGAGGCAGCAGUAGGGAAUCUUCCGCAAUGGACGAAAGUCUGACGGAGCAACGCCGCGUGAGCGAUGAAGGCCUUCGGGUCGUAAAGCUCUGUUGUUAGGGAAGAACAAGUAUCGGAGUAACUGCCGGUACCUUGACGGUACCUAACCAGAAAGCCACGGCUAACUACGUGCCAGCAGCCGCGGUAAU